AGAAAGAGAGGAAAUUAUGUAGUACUUAGAGUAACACUGAAGGACAAUGUGGCUCGGAAAAGAGAGAAAGAAAAGAGAAAACAGCCAGAGUAGCCGUUUUUUAAGGGAAAGCAAAACAGGAAAGAAAAGAGAAAUGAAAAAGAGGAAAUAGAAAAGAAAAAAAGAGA